GAUGAACGCUGGCGGCGUGCCUAAUACAUGCAAGUCGAGCGAACGGACGAGAAGCUUGCUUCUCUGAUGUUAGCGGCGGACGGGAGAGUAACACGUGGAUAACCUACCUAUAAGACUGGGAUAACUUCGGGAAACCGGAGCUAAUACCGGAUAAUAUUUUGAACCGCAUGGUUCAAAAGUGAAAGACGGUCUUGCUGUCACUUAUAGAUGGAUCCGCGCUGCAUUAGCUAGUUGGUAAGGUAACGGCUUACCAAGGCAACGAUGCAUAGCCGACCUGAGAGGGUGGUCGGCCACACUGGAAGAGAGACAGGGUCCAGACUCCUGCGGGAGGCAGCAGUAGGGAAUCUUCCGCAAUGGGCGAAAGCCUGACGGAGCAACGCCGCGUGAGUGAUGAAGGUGUUCGGAUCGUAAAACUCUGUUAUUAGGGAAGAACAUAUGUGUAAGUAACUGUGCACAUCUUGACGGUACCUGAUCAGAAAGCCACGGCUAACUACGUG
rnacentral:rRNA from 1 species